GAGGCAGCAGUAGGGAAUCUUCCGCAAUGGGCGAAAGCCUGACGGAGCAACGCCGCGUGAGUGAUGAAGGUUUUCGGACCGUAAAGCUCUGUUGCCAAGGAAGAACGUCUUCUAGAGUAACUGCUAGGAGAGUGACGGUACUUGAGAAGAAAGCCCCGGCUAACUACGUGCCAGCAGCCGCGGUAAUACGUAGGGGGCAAGCGUUGUCCGGAAUUAUUGGGCGUAAAGCGCGCGCAGGCGGUUCUUUAAGUCUGGUGUUUAAACCCGAGGCUCAACUUCGGGUCGCACUGGAAACUGGGGGACUUGAGUGCAGAAGAGGAGAGUGGAAUUCCACGUGUAGCGGUGAAAUGCGUAGAUAUGUGGAGGAACACCAGUGGCGAAG
rnacentral:rRNA from 1 species